rnacentral:tRNA from 1 species
AUUUAUAUAGUUUAAAAUAAAACAUUUCAUUUUCAAUGAAAAAACAAGAUAAUUCUUUGUAAA